GCUAAAUGCGGAAGAGAUAAGUGCUGAAAGCAUCUAAGCACGAAACUUGCCCCGAGAUGAGUUCUCCCUGACUCCUUGAGAGUCCUGAAGGAACGUUGAAGACGACGACGUUGAUAGGCCGGGUGUGUAAGCGCAGCGAUGCGUUGAGCUAACCGGUACUAAUGAACCGUGAGGCUUAACCUUACAACGCCGAAGGUGUUU
rnacentral:rRNA from 1 species